ensembl:lncRNA
AGAACAGAUGCUCCCGUUGCACCGAGGGUUUCUGUGCAGCUGAUGCACUUAGCCUAGUUUAUUUCACGGAAACUUUUAAGCUGGAUCUCGUCCAACGCCCAGGGAAGCAGAUGGCUUCUGUUGGUUUGAGUUGGUUUUCACGUCGAGUCCAUUCAGGUCUCCGAUUGCAAGUGGUUCCAGAGGGUUCUGAUUUCUUUUUUUCUCCUGACGUUCUGAUAAGAUUCGGUGUUAGGGCGACAGCUUAGCACUGACCGGUAGUUUUACAAAACCGAAUUUUGCUUUGGAAGGAUUUGUGCUGCGGAAGGGCAGAGCAGUCAGCUCAGUGACACGAAAACUCACCUCUGCGCACGGAGAGCUGCGGUGACGCCGUGGUGCUGGCUGGAUGCUUCCGGGGAGGUGGGCCAGCAGGAAAUCUGUUUCUGUGUGUUUAUGUGGACCUUCUAACCAGUGCUGCUUAGGAUAAAUAUGCCAUUUGCAGCAAGGAUCUGCAUCAAGGGACAGUAAAGAAAUUUGAUCGCCUGUUUCCUCUGAAGCAAGG